rnacentral:rRNA from 1 species
CCUCCGGUGAGAAACCGUGAUGUUGAAACAAGAACUAUUACUGUCGGUUAGGUUACGAAUUAAGUUGCGAUCGAACUUCAGGAGUUAAUAACAGUGAAAUUAGGAACUCUCUUCGGCCUACGACACCGAUGUUCUUCUAGGGACAGUCCAUCCACAACACAAGGAGUAGGAAGCAAAGAGGACAGGAAAGGGAAAGUACGGCUGAACAGUUCAAAGAAGAGAACCACUACCCACUACGGGUUAGGGAUGCUUAGUUGAGCUCGGUUCUAGACGAUAGACUUUAACAUCAAGGGGUAAAAACGAACUAAAUUAGCGGCACGCGGUACCGGCCUCUACUUCUGCUUCCGCUUUACCUCCGGAACGCCCUCCGAGACGCCGUCGUCUCAGAACGGCACCUCUACGAAUUCCGGCUCGACCUCCUCCUCUCCGUCCGCCGCAGCAGCCCCCGGCUGCUCCGCGACCGGUACUAGGACGCCGACGUCCCGCUCUUCCGCCGCCACGCCUACCUCCGGCUGGUCAAGGCAGCCCACCGCCUCCUCUCCUAGGACGUGCUGCUCCUGAGAGACCGGAAGGAGUUCCGGCAGCAGAAGUCGGUCCUCUACCUGUAGUGGAGGGAGUUCUUGGCGGACGACCAGCAGACGCCGUCGUUGCCAGGGAUGCGCGGCGGGGGGCCGGCCCUGCCGCAGUAGCUGGAGGGGACCGAUUCCUCCGACCGGGUCUUUCUGCACAGCAGCCCCUCCUUGCGGAGAGAGGGCCGCCGCGCCGAGCUCCUCGACACGAGCCUAGAGCUACGGAGACUCCUGCAGCCCCUGUCGUCCGGCCGCUCCUGCAACAGCCUGUAUCCCCUCCACUAGGCCUCCCUCUUCCUCACCCACGCCAGGUUGCACUCGGUGGUCCGCAACGGCGGCUCCGACGUGGCCAGCAGGAGGGUGACAGAGGGCGCCCGCGGCUCGAUGUGUCGCGUUACGCCGUACGGGUUACAGGUGCUGUUCAAGCUCCGCGGCCUCUCGCAGCGCAGGGUACGGGGAGGCUCUAGGUCGUCCUCCAGCAGCGGCCUCUAUUAGAGGCUUCUUCUGCUGCACUAGAGCAGCAGCUGCGCCGCGCCCCUGACGUUGCUGGGGUUCGGUCCUCUGCUCGCGUGUCUGCCGCGGUAACGGCUAGACCCUCGGCCGUAACUACUCUAGUUUAGGUCGCACGUCUGGGAGCGCUGGCUCGAGCCGUCUUACUCCCUUUGGUCGUACAGGUCUCCGCUGCGCGUCUACGUUCACGACCCGCUCUAGACGCGUUUCGAGCUGCGGUACUCCGGGUACUGCUAGUCGUUCGUUGUCUUACGACAAGUACCUCCGUUCUUUGUGAGGUCGUCUCUUCAUCCGUCAAGAAGGUUCCCCGGCCACCGAGACGGUGUCUCACUCGAAGACUACUUGGUAAAGUAGCUCCGUUACUACAUGUAUGGCACUCUAGACGCUUCCCGAUCUACGAAAAAAUAACCAAAACCUCAACUACCUAACUGACUUUCUAACAACUAAAGAAAUGGUAGCAGCGGAAAAGGGCCCGCUUCUACUACACAUGUACUCUCGAAUACACUAUGGCAACACCACAAGACAAUCCAUAUCCACACGACUAAAACAAUCGCAGUGUCCUCUUCCACUGCAACUACAUUACAAUGGUCUAACUAUGAACAUGUUUUUUCUUUUUCUUUUUAGUAGAGCGACAAGAAAACGCUGA